AGGGGGCUAGCGUUGCUCGGAAUCACUGGGCGUAAAGCGCACGUAGGCGGACUCUUAAGUCGGUGGUGAAAUCCUGGAGCUCAACUCCAGAACUGCCUUCGAUACUGAGAGUCUCGAGUCCGGGAGAGGUGAGUGGAACUGCGAGUGUAGAGGUGAAAUUCGUAGAUAUUCGCAAGAACACCAGUGGCGAAGGCGGCUCACUGGCCCGGUACUGACGCUGAGGUGCGAAAGCGUGGGGAGCAAACAGG
rnacentral:rRNA from 1 species